CCCGUCUCUAUGGCGGCCCCAACGGCCGUCCAGGACGUGGAGCGAAAUGAGCUCGGUCGCUGACGGCGGCGGUAGCGCUGCGGUGGCGGCGCGGUCGGACAAGGGCAGUGCCGGGGAGGACGGUUUCGUCCCGUCGGCGCUGGGGACCCGCGAGCAUUGGGAUGCUGUCUAUGAGAGAGAACUGCAAACUUUCCGAGAAUAUGGAGAUACAGGUGAAAUCUGGUUUGGAGAAGAGAGUAUGAAUCGACUAAUAAGGUGGAUGCAGAAACACAAGAUUCCACUGGAUGCUUCAGUGCUUGAUAUUGGAACUGGAAAUGGUGUUUUCCUGGUUGAACUUGUUGGCUUUGUCACCCAGUUUGCUUAUGAUGUGUGCUGCGGCCUGGAUUUCUUUGGCUUAUCCUAUUUGGUGUUCACUGAACUUUUUGCAUCUGCAAAAUUUGGUUUCUCUAAUAUUACUGGAAUUGAUUACUCUCCUUCUGCAAUUCAGCUUUCUGGAAGUAUUAUAGAAAAAGAAGGUUUAUCUAACAUUAAGUUAAAGGUAGAAGACUUUUUGAAUCUCUCCACACAGCUGUCUGGAUUUCAUAUUUGUAUUGACAAAGGGACUUUUGAUGCCAUAAGCCUUAAUCCUGACAAUGCAAUUGAGAAGAGGAAGCAAUAUGUGAAAUCUCUCUCCAGGGUGUUGAAAGUAAAAGGCUUUUUUCUAAUAACGUCAUGUAAUUGGACCAAGGAAGAGUUGCUAAAUGAAUUCGGUGAAGGUUGGAGUACAGUGGCAGGAUUUUGGCUCACUGCAGCCUUGACUUCCUGGGCUCAAGCGAUCCUUUCCACUUCAGCCUCCUGAGUAGGUGGAACUACAGGCACACAUCAUCAUGCCUGGAUAAUUUUUAUAUUUUUAGCAGAGACGGGGUUUUGCCAUGUUGUCCAGGCUGGUCUGGAACUCCUGGUCUCAAGUGAUUUUCCCACCUGGCCUCCCAAAGUGCUGGGAUUAUACCAUGCCAGGCCCUCGUUGGCAUUUUAGAUUUGAACUUUUCGAAGAGCUGCCAACACCCAAGUUCAGCUUUGGAGGCAGAUCUGGAAACAGUGUAGCAGCAUUGGUUUUCCAAAAAAUGUGAGACUUUUUCUUGGACAAAUUCAGGUAGCUACACAGAAUCUACACAGCAAAGUUAACCUGACACAGAAAAUCCUUGUGCAAAUAAAUGCUUAGUAAGUACACAGGAUGCACAUGUUGAAUAGAGUAGACUGGAUUGGUGAAAGAAAAUAAUAAUAAUGAGCAUCUAAGUGGUUGGGUUUUAGAGAUCAAUCAAGAAUAAUUUUAAUUUUCUUUUGUAUUUGAAAUGUAAAUAGUUUUCUUUUUGAUUAAAAAAAUUUCCUGUAACUGCUAAACAGUUAAAAACUUUAAAGUAGUAAAUGAGUUUAUAGAAAGCAUGUAUUCUUGAUUUUUGUGCCUUGGUAAAGUUGAUAACUAUUUAUGAAUAUUUGACCAAAUUAUUCCAGCAUCAGAAUAAUAAGCAAAAUAACUUUGUUAGUGUUUUGUUAGACUGUUUAUGAAAUAUAACAAGAAAUACUAUUUUGUGUUGGAUGGUGGUUAUUUUUAAACUUAAUUAAUACCUGUGAAAAGGCCUCUUACCUUUAUGUAUAUAAUUAAACAAAAUCAGAGAAAUGUAUCAGUUGCUCAAGUUAUCAAGCCUGCAUUUUGCAGCUAUGGUCUUCUACACACUAUAAGGGUAGUAGAAGUAAAGAGAACUAAGGAAUAUUAUUAUUUGCUAGUGCUAUGUUAAGUUGUCUUAUUAAGUAAUUGAAUCCUUUCAAUAUCUUCUUGAGGUAUGUAUUGCUUGUUCUUAUUUCUACUUAUAAGGAAAAUGAAGCUGAGAGAACUGAAGUCACUUUUAUGAGGUUCAAUAGUACAGGAUGGAGCCAGGAUUUUUAUCUGGGUCUGUCUGACUUUAAAACACAUACUCUUCUCCUAGCAUACUCUGCCUCACAGGUACUAAGUCUCUGCCUUUGUAGCAUUUACAGUACAGCUGGAGACCUAUGAUGAUUACAUAUAAAGUUCAGUUAGAAAAGAUGGGUAGUUAUUUUAUUAGUGUUCAUCUGUGGAGUAUCAGAAUAGCAGUCAGCCAACUCUGUCUCAUAUCAUCCUUCAUUACUUUUCCCCAUCUCCCUACUCAAAGACUUGCCUCUAUUAAGAAUUUUGUCAUUCUUCUGUGAAAGGGUAGUGUAAGUUAUAUAAGCCCUCAGUGAUACAUGCACAAAGAUGUUCUAGUUAGGGGCUAAUUUAGCAAGAGAAACAGUUUAUUAAUGUUUUUGAAAAGAUAAGUCAUAUUCAUACUUAAUACCAUUUUGUAUUUGUAAUAUUUUAAUAUUGGAGCCAAAUACAAAUUUUUGCAUAAUUUUUUGAUGAUUUUCAGCUUUGUGGGCCUAUUGGGUUACAUAACUGACUUUUUGUUUAUUUGGCAAAUGUUACUCCUGUAUUGAGUAAGUCUAACAUUACGUCCCUUUUCUUUUUGGGGAGGGGUAGACGAAGGAGUGAGUUUUUCAUUUAGAUCAACAUUGAUCAACUAUUAAGACAAGAUAGUUGAAGAUAUGUAUGUGGACUUUCAACAAAAAUAACAUUUUUUGAAAAGCUUUUAUUUUCAACAUGUAAAAAGUGAGAAAUUACUUCAAAAUAUAUGCAAUUUAAAUUUUUUACAAAAUUGUGUUGAUUUUACAAGACAGGAGAUCUUAAACUGUAGAAAAUUUUAUGGUUUUUGAGAUCGGGUCUUUGUUUUUUUUUCCACAUUAAUAUUCUUUGAUUUCAAAUAUAACAUAGAUAAGUACUCUUAGAAUUUUGAGUUAAGUGUAUGCUAUUUUAAUGUGCUAAUCCUACAAACUAGGCUUUCUGUGUGACUAGACUGAGAUGUUGAGUUUGAUUCACAAAAAGCUUGGAAUGGUUCUUUGUUGAAAAGCUUUUCGAGUCACUAUUUGGGGCAUGUUUGUGCCAUUUGCAAAGGUGAAGGAAUUUUUUUUUUUUUUUUUUUUUUUUUAACCAUAGAGCCUUUGAUAAGGUUAGGAAAAGAAAGUUGUCAUCUCUUCUUAUUACUCUAAUCCUGCUGGAAGCUAACUUCUUAGGGACUAAAACCAGAACAAAUGGAAGGUCCAAAAAUGCUAAUAAGAAAUUAGUAUUUUCACAUAAUACCAAACUGUAAAAACCAGGCCAGCAAAUGUCCCCCACAUUCCUGAAACAAACCAUAAAUACAUUAUUUAACUUAGUAUUGUUAAAUUGUAUAAAUAUGUGGGUAACUGUGACAGAAAUUAUGCACUUAUAAAAAGGAGCAGUAAGUUACAUAGUGAAUGCUGUUUUCUGUGGAUAAGAAGUUGGAAUUGUAAUUUCAUUUAAUCGAAAGACGCUUAUUUUGAGGAAACUUGUUUGAAAUGCAAACGCGAUUUCUCUGUGGAGCCUGCACGGAAUUGCUGCUUUUCACUAUGAUUAUUGCUGCAUAACAGGCCACUUCUGUGUGUAGGAAGUACGUGUGCAAGUCCAAAGGGAAUUGAGGCCUGAAUGGGUGGGUUACACCAAUUAGCAAAUACAAAGUUUUCAGUACAUUUUGUUUUAAGCCAGGUGCACAAGUUAAAGUUGCUUUUUGGGGCUGGCAUUUAUGUAUGUGAGAAUCAAACCUGAUAUCACUCUUGGCAGCCUGACUAAAGCCAUUUAAAAAUAAGUA